AUUGAACGCUGGCGGCAGGCCUAACACAUGCAAGUCGAGCGAGCGGCGGACGGGUGAGUAAUGUCUGGGAAACUGCCUGAUGGAGGGGGAUAACUACUGGAAACGGUAGCUAAUACCGCAUACCAUCAGAUGUGCCCAGAUGGGAUUAGCUAGUAGGUGGUGUAACGGAUCACCUAGGCGACGAUCCCUAGCUGGUCUGAGAGGAUGACCAGUCACACUGGAACUGAGCAACGGUCGCGAGCCGUACGGGAGGCAGCAUAGGGGAAGAUGGCACAAUGGUGGCAAGCCUGAUGCAGCCAUGCCGCGUAUGUGAAGAAGUCCUUCGGGUUGUAAGGCACUUUCAGCGGGGAGGCGUUACCCGCAGAAGAAGCACCGGCUAACUCCGUGCCAGCAGAGGCGGUAAUUC
rnacentral:rRNA from 1 species